UACGAAGGGGGCUAGCGUUGCUCGGAUUUACUGGGCGUAAAGGGCGCGUAGGCGGACAGUUUAGUCAGAGGUGAAAGCCCAGGGCUCAACCUUGGAAUUGCCUUUGAUACUGGCUGUCUUGAGUACGGGAGAGGUGAGUGGAACUCCGAGUGUAGAGGUGAAAUUCGUAGAUAUUCGGAAGAACACCAGUGGCGAAGGCGACUCACUGGCCCGUUACUGACGCUGAGGCGCGAAGGUCAGGGGAGCAAACGGG
rnacentral:rRNA from 1 species